AGGGAUGUAGCUCAGUGGUAGAGCACUUGUCUAGCACACAUGAUGUUCUAGGCUUGAGUCCCAGCACCACAU
rnacentral:tRNA from 1 species